rnacentral:rRNA from 1 species
GACAGAGGGUGCAAACGUUGUUCGGAAUUACUGGGCGUAAAGCGUGUGUAGGCGGCUACGCAAGUCGGAUGUGAAAGCCCCGGGCUCAACCCGGGAAGUGCACCCGAAACUGCGUGGCUCGAGUACCGGAGAGGUUGGUGGAAUUCUCGGUGUAGGGGUGAAAUUCGUAGAUAUCGAGAGGAACACCGGUGGCGAAGGCGGCCAACUGGACGAGUACUGACGCUGAGACACGAAAGCGUGGGGAGCAAACAGG